rnacentral:rRNA from 1 species
CGCGUAGGUGGUUUGUUAAGUUGGAUGUGAAAGCCCCGGGCUCAACCUGGGAACUGCAUCCAAAACUGGCAAGCUAGAGUACGGUAGAGGGUGGUGGAAUUUCCUGUGUAGCGGUGAAAUGCGUAGAUAUAGGAAGGAACACCAGUGGCGAAGGCGACCACCUGGACUGAUACUGACGCUGAGGCACGAAAGCGUGGGGAGGCAAAACA